rnacentral:rRNA from 1 species
GACGAACCGUGCGAACGUUGUUCGGAUUCACUGGGCUUAAAGGGCGCGUAGGCGGCUUGCCAAGUCAGGGGUGAAAUCUUUCGGCUCAACCGGAAAACAGCCCCUGAUACUGGUAAGCUCGAGGGAGGUAGGGGCAGGUGGAACUUCUGGUGGAGCGGUGAAAUGCGUAGAUAUCAGAAGGAACGCCGGUGGCGAAAGCGACCUGCUGGAUCUCUACUGACGCUGAGGCGCGAAAGCUAGGGGAGCAAACGGG